rnacentral:rRNA from 1 species
GAUUAACGCUAGCGGCAGGCAUAAUACAUGCAAGUUGAACGAGAUAAGUUUUAGCAAUAGAACUUUGAAAGUGGCGCACGGGUGCGUAACACGUAUGCAACCUACCUUUUACUGGGGAAUAGCCUCUCGAAAGAGAGAUUAAUACCCCAUAAUAUAUUGAUAAGGCACCUUAUUAAUAUUAAAGUUACGGCGGUAAAAGAUGGGCAUGCGGCUGAUUAGGUAGUUGGUGAGGUAAUGGCUCACCAAGCCGACGAUCAGUAGGGGGUCUGAGAGGAUGUCCCCCCACACUGGUACUGAGACACGGACCAGACUCCUACGGGAGGCAGCAGUAGGGAAUAUUGGACAAUGGGCGCAAGCCUGAUCCAGCCAUGCCGCGUGCAGGAUGAAGGCCCUAUGGGUCGUAAACUGCUUUUGUACGGGAAGAAACCUCACUACGUGUAGUGAGUUGACGGUACCGUGAGAAUAAGGAUCGGCUAACUUCGUGCCAGCAGCCGCCGCCG